rnacentral:rRNA from 1 species
GACGAACGCUGGCGGCGUGCUUAACACAUGCAAGUCGAGCGGUAAGGCCCUUUCGGGGGUACACGAGCGGCGAACGGGUGAGUAACACGUGGGUGACCUGCCCUCAGCUCUGGGAUAAGCCUGGGAAACUGGGUCUAAUACCGGAUAUGACUCCAUGACGCAUGUUGUGGGGUGGAAAGCCUUGUGCGGCUGAGGAUGGGCCCGCGGCCUAUCAGCUUGUUGGU